GUUUUGCUGGUGCCUGGUGUGAGGGCUGAAGGAAGAAGGGGUUGGCAGCUGGAGGUGAGCAAGAGCUCCUGCAGAGCGAGGAGAGCCAUUGGCUGUGUGGGACACGGUGGCUGGCCUGCUUGGAGAAGCACUUGUGGUGCCAAGGGCACGCCCGUUGUGAGGCUGGGCUCCUUUGAGAGCAUGCCCAGCGGGAUGGGUGUUGGAGACAGGAGGGUUGAUGCAGUUGCCCGUGCUUGCUCCGGUUGCCCGUU